CGGCGUGCUUAACACAUGCAAGUCGAACGCAUAGGCCCUGCUUUUGUGGGGUGCUCGAGUGGCGAACGGGUGAGUAACACGUGAGUAACCUGCCCUUGACUUUGGGAUAACUUCAGGAAACUGGGGCUAAUACCGGAUAGGAGCUCCUGCUGCAUGGUGGGGGUUGGAAAGUUUCGGCGGUUGGGGAUGGACUCGCGGCUUAUCAGCUUGUUGGUGGGGUAGUGGCUUACCAAGGCUUUGACGGGUAGCCGGCCUGAGAGGGUGACCGGCCACAUUGGGACUGAGAUACGGCCCAGACUCCUACGGGAGGCAGCAGUGGGGAAUAUUGCACAAUGGGCGGAAGCCUGAUGCAGCAACGCCGCGUGCGGGAUGACGGCCUUCGGGUUGUAAACCGCUUUCGCCUGUGACGAAGCGUGAGUGACGGUAAUGGGUAAAGAAGCACCGGCUAACUACGUGCCAGCAGCCGCGGUGAUACGUAGGGUGCGAGCGUUGUCCGGAUUUAUUGGGCGUAAAGGGCUCGUAGGUGGUUGAUCGCGUCGGAAGUGUAAUCUUGGGGCUUAACCCUGAGCGUGCUUUCGAUACGGGUUGACUUGAGGAAGGUAGGGGAGAAUGGAAUUCAUGGUGGAGCGGGUGGAAUGCGCAGAUAUCAGGAGGAACACCAGUGGCGAAGGCGUUUCUCUGGGCCUUUCCUGACGCUGAGGAGCGAAAGCGUGGGGAGCGAACAGGCUUAGAUACCCUGGUAGUCCACGCUGUAAACGGUGGGUACUAGGUGUGGGGUCCAUUCCACGGGUUCCGUGCCGUAGCUAACGCUUUAAGUACCCCGCCUGGGGAGUACGGCCGCAAGGCUAAAACUCAAAGGAAUUGACGGGGCCCCGCACAAGCGGCGGAGCAUGCGGAUUAAUUCGAUGCAACGCGUAGAACCUUACCUGGGUUUGACAUGGAUCGGGAGUGCUCAGAGAUGGGUGUGCCUCUUUUGGGGUCGGUUCACAGGUGGUGCAUGCCUGUCGUCAGCUCGUGUCGUGAGAUGUUGGGUUAAGUCCCGCAACGAGCGCAACCCUUGUUCACUGUUGCCAGCACGUUAUGGUGGGGACUCAGUGGAGACCGCCGGGGUCAACUCGGAGGAAGGUGGGGAUGACGUCAAGUCCUCAUGCCCCUUAUGUCCAGGGCUUCACGCAUGCUACAAUGGCUGGUACAGAGAGUGGCGAGCCUGUGAGGGUGAGCGAAUCUCGGAAAGCCGGUCUCAGUUCGGAUUGGGGUCUGCAACUCGACCUCAUGAAGUCGGAGUCGCUAGUAAUCGCAGAUCAGCAACGCUGCGGUGAAUACGUUCCCGGGGCUUGUACACACCGCCCGUCAAGUCAUGAAAGUUGGUAACACCCGAAGCCGGUGGCCUAACCGUUGUGGGGGAGCCGUCGAAGGUGGGACUGG
rnacentral:rRNA from 1 species